rnacentral:rRNA from 1 species
GAUGAACGCUGGCGGCGUGCCUAACACAUGCAAGUCGAGCGAACGGACGAGAAGCUUGCUUUUCUGAUGUUAGCGGCGGACGGGUGAGUAAAACGUGGAUAACCUACCUAUAAGACUGGGAUAACUUCGGGAAACCGGAGCUAAUACCGGAUAAUAGUUUGAACCGCAUGGUUCAAAAGUGAAAGACGGCCUUGCUGUCACUUAUAGAUGGAUCCGCGCUGCAUUAGCUAGUUGGUAAGGUAACGGCUUACCAAGGCAACGAUGCAUAGCCGACCUGAGAGGGUGAUCGGCCACACUGGAACUGAGACACGGUCCAGACUCCUACGGGAGGCAGCAGUAGGGAAUCUUCCGCAAUGGGCGAAAGCCUGACGGAGCAACGCCGCGUGAGUGAUGAAGGUCUUCGGAUCGUAAAACUCUGUUAUUAGGGAAGAACAUAUGUGUAAGUAACUGUGCACAUCUUGACGGUACCUAAUCAGAAAGCCACGGCUAACUACGUG